AAGUACUCUGCAGCCACUUAGUGUGGUGUGGACACCAGGUUAUAUCAGCUGUGUCGGUGAACCCCUCUUGCAUCUGAACUGGCUACAUCGAGGGCACAGCAUGAUCAGAUGUGAGAGGUCACUCGGUCGGGUCAACAAUAUGUUUUGAUGUGAGAGGAUGCCAACCCCCAGUCCCAUCAUCGCCAC